CUAACGAGGAAGACCACUUUGAUAAUAACAUUAUGAAGAAAUCCUACCCAGAAUCUGGAUAGCAGAUUUUUAUUAGAUAGGAAUGUUGUCCCUGGCACUAGAAAAGUGACUUUGGUGUCCUGGUUCAUAGUAGAAAGAAUUCCAAAGAUGUGCAUUUACUCGAUGGAUUCAAGACAUUAAUUCAAACAGCUAAAUAUUUAUACCAUGAGAAAAUUUAAAUCCAAAUGCUAUGCAAUUCUAGUUGAAUUUGUUGAAUUUUUUUCCUCCAGGUAUUCCUUGUGUUCGUCCUCCUCUAAUAGCCAAUGGAAGAUAUGAUGCCAGUUCUUCAGAUGCAUAUGAUGUUAGCUCGGUAGUAAUCUAUCGGUGUGAUGCUGAUUAUACCCUUAUUGGAAAUUCUACUAUUACUUGUAUAGUUGCAAAAAAUGGUGUAGAUGGAGAGUGGGAUCAGCCUUCACCUGAAUGCAAAAAGGUCAAUUGCCCUAGACCAAAAAUCACAAAUGGAAGAGUGGAUGCUGUGUUUCAAGCUACAUA